rnacentral:rRNA from 1 species
UGCAGUCGAGCGGAUGAGAAGAGCUUGCUCUUCGAUUCAGCGGCGGACGGGUGAGUAAUACCUAGGAAUCUGCCUGGUAGUGGGGGACAACGUUUCCGAAGGAACGCUAAUACCGCAUACGUCCUACGGGAGAAAGCAGGGGACCUUCGGGCCUUGCGCUAUCACAUGAGCCUAGGUCGGAUUAGCUAGUUGGUGAGGUAAUGGCUCACCAAGGCUACGAUCCGUAACUGGUCUGAGAGGAUGAUCAGUCACACUGGAACUGACACACGGUCCAGACUCCUACGGGAGGCAGCAGUGGGGAAUAUUGGACAAUGGGCGAAAGCCUGAUCCAGCCAUGCCGCGUGUGUGAAGAAGGUCUUCGGAUUGUAAAGCACUUUAAGUUGGGAGGAAGGGCAGUAAGAAAAUACCUUGCUGUUUUGACGUUACCCACAGAAUAAGCACCGGCUAACUCUGUGCCAGCAGCCGCGGUAAUACAGAGGGUGCAAGCGUUAAUCGGAAUUACUGGGCGUAAAGCGCGCGUAGGUGGUUCGUUAAGUUGGAUGUGAAAUCCCCGGGCUCAACCUGGGAACUGCAUCCAAAACUGGCGAGCUAGAGUAGGGCAGAGGGUGGUGGAAUUUCCUGUGUAGCGNUGAAAUGCGUAGAUAUAGGAAGGAACACCAGUGGCGAAGGCGACCACCUGGGCUCAUACUGACACUGAGGUGCGAAAGCGUGAGGAGCAAACAGGAUUAGAUACCCUGGUAGUCCACGCCGUAAACGAUGUCAACUAGCCGUUGGAAUCCUUGAGAUUNUAGUGGCGCANCUAACGCAUUAAGUUGACCGCCUGGGGAGUACGGCCGCGAGGUUAAAACUCAAAUGAAUUGACGGGGGCCCGCACCAGCGGUGGAGCAUGUGGUUUAUUCGAAGCAACGCGAAGAACCUUACCAGGCCAU